rnacentral:lncRNA from 1 species
ACGCUGGCUAAGGGAGGGAUCGAGACGUUCCUGAUCGAGAGAAAGAUGGACAACUGCAAGCCAUGCGGCGGCGCCAUCCCUCUGUGCAUGGUCGGGGAGUUCGACCUUCCGCUGGACAUCAUCGACCGCCGCGUCACCAAGAUGAAGAUGAUCUCGCCCUCCAACGUGGCGGUCGACAUCGGCCGCACGCUCAAGCCGCACGAGUACAUCGGCAUGGUCCGCCGCGAGGUCCUCGACGCCUACCUCCGCGACCGCGCCGCCACCGCCGGCGCCACCGUGAUCAACGGCCUCUUUUUGAAGAUGGACCUGCCGCAGGCCAAGACCGCGCCCUACGUCCUCCACUACACCGACUACAACGCGAAGACCGGCGGCGCCGGCGAGAAGAAGACGCUGGAAGUGGACGCCAUCAUCGGCGCGGACGGCGCCAACUCCCGCGUGGCGAAGGGCAUCAACGCCGGCGACUACGAGUACGCCA